UCAAAACUAUUCACAUCAAAAUGGAGAUCUCAAAAGAAGACAGAAACUUAGACGAACUGGGCCGUACUCAAGGCCCCUCUCAGGAUUGCCUUCUUCCUCCAAAAAUCUUUCUCCUUAAGAUUCGCCUCCGAGUUCUCCUUCUCGGAUUCCUCCUUCUCAGCUCUUCAGCAGGGUCCUGAAAUGUUUUCCCCAAAUUGGGAUGAGACUACGUCUUAGCGAGUUCUACCCCACUAAGCCCGAUUAGUAAACUAUUAUACUACAGGCUGCCUAAACAUGCACAGGGCAGAGGACUUACCUUGGCCUCAGAUCUCACCUGCAAGUAAGUACAAUUCACAAUAAACACCCAUUUAUUCCAAACAAAUCGAACCAGUCGAUUUCAUGUCAUACAAAUCAUUCUCCACGGAGGAGUAUCUAAAAGCGAGGCCACGUGCAUUCUCUAGGACGACAUUCCAAGUCUCCGAGUCCACGUGCCUUGAACCUUGGGCCCACGUGCAUUCUCUCAAGCGACCUUUUCGCCAAAGUGAUACAUCAAGUCACCGAGCCCACGUGCCCUUUUAGAUGCCUGGGCCCACGUGUAUUCUCUUAGGUGCUAUCUCACCAAAGUGAUGCAUCAAUUCACCGAGCCCACGUGCCCUUUUUACGAUGCCCGGGCCCACGUGCAUUCUCUUAGGUGCUAUCUCACCAAAGUGAUGCAUCAAUUCACCGAGCCCACGUGCCCUUUUAGAUGCUAAACUCUGUCACCGAGCCACGUGCAUUCUCCAGGACGACAUACCGAGUCUCCGAGCCACGUGCAUUCUCUCAGGCGACCUUUUCGCCAAGGUGACAUAUUCAACCACUGAACUCACGUGCCUUCUCUAGGUGACAUUCCAAUUCACCGAGCCCACGUGUCCUCUUUCAAGUGAUUACCAAUCUUCUUUCAAUACCGACAACCAAUGCCCAACGAUUUCUCAAUCAAAUAAUUAAAUCAACUCAACAAAGCAUUAUAAAUGCUGAAUAACAUACUUGGCCAAUCACCAAUCAAUAAUUCAAUCUCAAUUGAUUUCAAUCAAUUUAGGGUAAAUGCCUAAAAUAUCACAAUUUAUUCAAUUCCAUACAACGUAGAGCUCAAAUAAAUAAAUGGACUACGCCACGACAAUCAGCACGAGAUUUCGGUCGUCGGCCAUCAACAUCUUAAUUUCUGAAAAAUAAUUAAUUAAAUAAUUAAUUUCGAAAAUUAAAUAAUUAAUAUUAAAAAUUCAAUUUAGCUCAAAAUAAAGCCCGAUUAAAUAAACGGACUUCACCACGGUCAUCAGCACAAUAUUCCGGUCCCGGGCCAUCUCAGUUGAAUUUUCGGAAAAUAAAUAAUUAUUUAAUUUAAUUCCGAAAAUUAAUAUUUAAAUACUAAAAAUUCCACUUAGGCCCGAAAAGCCUAAUUGGAGCCCACUAAGGGUCGGGAAAAUCCCGAGGCACUUCCAAUAAUUAGUAGACCACGUCUACUUGUUAAUUGCGCAAUCAAUUUAUCUAAAUCGCAUCACAAUUGACUAAUAAUUGCUAAUUUAUUAUAAUCUAACAACCUAAACAUAAUUAAUUAAAUCUAAAUCAACCUUAAGCAUAAUUAGCCAACUAAUCUAGGAUUAGUGAGAUUACUCACCAAAUUGCGCGCAAAUCAGAUCAAUCUGACGGGGGCGACGCGAGGAACGAUUCUUCCCAAAGCACGGCUCGGGUUCGGGGCCCGGAAACGGCCCAAAAGCGGGCCUAAAGCUGCUGGAAACCCAUUUCGUGGGUUGCUGGAUCAGCUGCAAAACAGAGAGAAAGAGAGGGUUGGGGGCGGCAAGGGGUCGGGAAGAUAGGCGGCAGUCCGAUGAGGCUGCACGGCGGCUCCGGCGACCUGCUCAGCCACUCACGGUGACUGAAUAGAGGCCGAACAGAAACUGGGUCGCACGGCAGGGACGGCAGCAGGCGAUGGACGCGGGGACGCGCGCGGACGGCGGGACGGCGGUGAGUGGCGGGCGCGCGGGUGGUCCGGCUCCGGUGCGGCGGCAACGGCAGCUGGUCUUCAGGCGACGUCCGCGGCUGCUUCCGCUUUUGUCUCUGCUGGUCAUCGCACGAAACAAAGGAGAGGAGAAGGGGGUGGCAACGACAGCUGAGGGGGCGAGGGAGAAGCGGAGGCGGGCGGUGAGCAGCGGAGCUGCUCCUGUCUUCAAAUGACGGUGGCUGCUGCUUCUGUCUUCUUCGGCUUCUAGUUCGCACAAAGAAGAAGGAAGAAGAAGAAGUCGGUUACGAGGGAGAGUGGGGGAGAAGAGAGAGGAGAGAGAAGAAGGGAUAAGAGAGAGA
rnacentral:lncRNA from 1 species